rnacentral:sRNA from 1 species
CAGGUACAAUUUCAGGUUCUAAUCAGUGAACGUGAGUAUCUAAACCACCAGCUGUAUAAAUUUUACCUUCACCAGCUGAAACUUCAGUUGCAAUACCAAUAAUCAUAUCUACAUUAUCAGUUAAGUGAGGGUUACCUGACUUACCAAUUGCAGCAAUUUUUCCAUCACGUACCCCGAUGUCAGCUUUAUAAACACCAGUGUAGUCUAGAAUUAAAGCAUUAGUAAUAACUAAGUCCAUUACUUCUGCGUUUUUGUAUUUUUCAUCACGUUUGUAAGUUG